UGGCCCGUUGGUCAAGCGGUUAAGACACCGCCCUUUCACGGCGGUAACACGGGUUCGAAUCCCGUACGGGUCAUCC
rnacentral:tRNA from 13 species